AUUUAAUACAUAAACUGAGCAGCAAUGUCCAUGGUUACAUCUUUCAACCUCCUGAUGAGCCAGACGGCGCCUCCGGUACUGAAAGCUCCCUUUGGUGCAGCCCUGCGAUCCGCAGGCAAGCCAGCAGCGGCAUUGGCCCUCCAAAGGAAGUCUCCGCGUCUUUUGGUGCGUGCUAAUAAUUCUCCGAAAAGCCCUGCUGAUACUGGGCAUCCCUUUGGCAUCGCACCCUUUGCCCUGGUGCACCCCAAGUUCCCACCGACGUCAGGCGACAGGUGGAGGAUCACGGAGGACGACGACUACGUGAAGCUGUGGUUCCACGUCGGGGAGAUAGACAGGAAGAAGCUCAAGGUUCGGAUCGAGCACGACACGGUGCUCCUCGUCAGCUAUGGCGGCGCCGGCGACGAGACGUCGACGCCGGCGAACUCCCUCGACGUGCGCCUGCUGCUGCCGAACAAGCCGUACGACACGGCCAAGGUCGAGGCCGAGCUCACCUUCGGGACGCUGCUGGUGACCGUCGCCAAGCGCAAGCCCCAGCAAGGUGACAAGGUCGGAAUCCCGAUCACUCCGGCUCCAAGCAAUGAGAAAACCACUACCGCCACCGGACAAACCGGUAGCGAGACCUAGCUAUAUAUCUAAUCUUAAAAGUGGCAAAUAGUUAAAUGUCGCUCAACGGAGAGCUUAGUUACGAGAUAGAUCCAUGUGCCGUCGAUCGAUCUUGCUCCGAGAAAUAAAAAUGGGUCAAUAAUCUUGUUCUAUUUGGUAUAUGGUAUGGCUCGCUGA
rnacentral:lncRNA from 1 species